AUUGAACGCUGGCGGCAUGCCUUACACAUGCAAGUCGAACGGCAGCGGACCUUCGGGUGCCGGCGAGUGGCGAACGGGUGAGUAAUAUAUCGGAACGUACCUUUCAGUGGGGGAUAACGUAGCGAAAGUUACGCUAAUACCGCAUAUUCUGUGAGCAGGAAAGCAGGGGAUCGCAAGACCUUGCGCUGAUUGAGCGGCCGAUAUCAGAUUAGCUAGUUGGUGAGGUAAAGGCUCACCAAGGCGACGAUCUGUAGCGGGUCUGAGAGGAUGAUCCGCCACACUGGAACUGAGACACGGUCCAGACUCCUACGGGAGGCAGCAGUGGGGAAUUUUGGACAAUGGGCGCAAGCCUGAUCCAGCCAUGCCGCGUGUGUGAAGAAGGCCUCGGUUGUAA
rnacentral:rRNA from 1 species